AUGGCAAUGCGGAGUAUCAGGACAGCAUCAUUGAUGGCUGGGCAGUGGGUGCCUGAAACUCAGGAAAACGAGGCAGUUUUUGAUGCGUUGAGGGAGGCGUACCGGCUCCUUAUAUCGAAGCAUUUCAGCACCAUUCAGGAUUGGAUAUCUGUGCUUGUUAGGGUCAAUCUUGCAGAUAAUCGGUUCAGAGAUUCUGCAUUGAAGGAAUUCAUUGAUGUUAAGAAUGAAAUACGUGCUGUAAGAGGCCAGUGCAAUGAGCUUGGUCUCGAUCUUGAUAAUGUUCGUAGGAAGAAGGAUGUUCAGGAGGAAGAUGAAGAGGAUUGGGUGGAGGGAAAGAUUGAAGUUCCUAGUCCUCCUAGAGUUGAUAGCACUGUAGAUGUUGCAGGUUCCAACAAGGACAAUAGGAAGGGAAAGAGGAUGAGAGAAAAAAGCUCCUUACUGAAGCCCCUUUGGUAUCAUGGAGCUCUGUCUUACCGGUGGGGUUCAAAUAUGGAUGCACAUGUAAACCAGAGGGGGCUUGAGCUCGAGAGCCAUUGGGGGAGGAUGGAUAAUGAUGCUGUUAUACCUGCUGCAAAGAUUGCAGAGUUAAAUGUUCACCAUUCUAUUUAUAAAGAAGAGCCAGUUGAGAUCCUACCAUGUCAUGCACCUCUGAAGAAAGGAGGUCUUUGCCAGAGAAGGGAUCUCAAGAUAUGCCCUUUUCAUGGGCUCAUCAUCCCACGUAAUGCAAGUGGAAAUCCAAUUGGCAAAAUUGGUGGCAGUUCUGAUGCAGGAGGCGAUCCGCUUGAGCAGAAAGUAGACAUUCGUGAGGCAGGAGGAAAUCCGAUUAAGACAAAUGGAGGCAGUGAUACUGAAAGUACACAGGAGGGUCAGGAGCCCUCUACUUCAAUGAUGAGAAGCAUAAAUAAUGACACAAGCGACAUCGAUGGAGCACAUGACCUGAGUAAAAUUACAAUGGACCAGCUGGCAAUGCAAGCAAUUAAGAAUGUUCGGAAAAGGGACAUGGACGACAAAGCACGGGAAAGAGCCCAACGUGCGAGAAUCCGCCAGCACAAUGAAGAUGUUCUGCGGCAAGCGGCUAUUGCUUCAACGCCCCACUCAGCGGUAGCAUAUGACCAGCCUUCUGGAACAUUGGGCCGACGUGGUCGACGUCGAGGUAAGACGAAGGAACCUACACUAUCAUCAAUGCUGAAGAAGAAAGUUACUGCAAAAGAUAGGAUUGCAGGGAGGCUUCUAAAUGGUCGUGCUAGGGACGCAACAAUAAGAGAAGCUUCUAAUACUGAGGAUAUGACCUACAGAGAAGCAUUCCCAAAUCAGUGGCAGUGA
rnacentral:rRNA from 1 species